UACCUGCAGCUCAAGUGGUGGCCGCUAUUAUUGGGCCUAAAACGUCCGUAGCCGGUUUAGUAAAUGCCUGGGUAAAUCGCGCCGCUCAACGGUACGAAUUCUGGGUAGACUGCUAAGCUUGAGACCGGGAGAGGCUAGAGGUACUCCUGGGGUAGAGGUGAAAUUCUGUAAUCCUAGGGGGACCACCAGUGGCGAAGGCGUCUAGCUAGAACGGGUCUGACGGUGAGGGACGAAGCCCUGGGGCGCAAACCGGAUUAGAUACCCGGGUAGUCCAGGGUGUAAACGCUGCUUGCUUGAUGUUGGUUGGGCUCCGAGCCCAAUCAGUGUCGGAGAGAAGUUGUUAAGCAAGCUGCCUGGGAAGUACGAUCGCAAGAUUGAAACUUAAAGGAAUUGGCGGGGAGCACAGCAACGGGUGGAGCGUGCGGUUU
rnacentral:rRNA from 1 species